rnacentral:rRNA from 1 species
GGUUUCUUGACUUGGGUUUAAGAAAUUUAACCUGCCCACUGAGUAAUCAAUUUUGAAGGGCCGCAGUAUUUUGACUGUGCAAAGGUAGCAUAAUCAUUAGUCUUUUAAUUGAGGACUGGAAUGAAUGGUUGGACGAAGUAAAUUCUGUUUUAUAUUAAUUUUUAUUGAAUUUAGAUUUUGAGUAAAAAUACUUAAAUUUUUUUAAGGGACGAGAAGACCCUAUAGAGUUUAAUAUAUCAAGUUUUAAUUGAGUUAAAAAGUAAUAUUUGGUUAAUUAUGUAAUGUAUUUGAUUGGGGUGAUUAAAAGAUAAGUAAAACUCUUUUUUAGUAUAAAUUUUUUUCUUUAGGAGGUUGAUCCAUUAAGAUAGUGAUUAUAAGAUUAAAUUACCUUAGGGAUAACAGCAUAAUUUUUUUUGAGAGUUCAUAUUGAGAAAAGAGAUUAUGACCUCGAUGUUGGAUUAAGAUAAAUUUUGGGUGUAGAUGUUUAAAAGUUAGGUCUGUUCGACCUUUAAUUUCUU